rnacentral:rRNA from 1 species
GUGCCUUCGGGAACUCUGAGACAGGUGCUGCAUGGCUGUCGUCAGCUCGUGUUGUGAAAUGUUGGGUUAAGUCCCGCAACGAGCGCAACCCUUAUCCUUGUUUGCCAGCGAGUAAUGUCGGGAACUCCAGGGAGACUGCCGGUGAUAAACCGGAGGAAGGUGGGGACGACGUCAAGUCAUCAUGGCCCUUACGAGUAGGGCUACACACGUGCUACAAUGGCGCAUACAGAGGGCGGCCAACUUGCGAAAGUGAGCGAAUCCCAAAAAGUGCGUCGUAGUCCGGAUUGGAGUCUGCAACUCGACUCCAUGAAGUCGGAAUCGCUAGUAAUCGUGGAUCAGAAUGCCACGGUGAAUACGUUCCCGGGCCUUGUACACACCGCCCGUCACACCAUGGGAGUGGGCUGCAAAAGAAGUGGGUAGUUUAACCUUCGGGAGGACGCUCACCACUUUGUGGUUCAUGACUGGGGUGAAGUCGUAACAAGGUAGCGCUAGGGGAACCUGGCGCUGGAUCACCUCCUUA